GUAGGUGGCAAGCGUUGUCCGGAAUUAUUGGGCGUAAAGCGCGCGCAGGCGGUUCGUUUAAGUCUGAUGUGAAAGCCCACGGGCUCAACCGUAGAGGGUCAUUGGAAACUGGAGAACUUGAGUACAGAAGAGGAAAGCGGAAUUCCACGUGUAGCGGUGAAAUGCGUAGAGAUGUGGAGGAACACCAGUGGCGAAGGCGGCUUUCUGGUCUGUAACUGACGCUGAGGCGCGAAAGCGUGGGGAGCAAACAGGAUUAGAUACCCUGGUAGUCCACGCCGUAAACGAUGAGUGCUAAGUGUUAGGGGGUUUCCGCCCCUUAGUGCUGCAGCUAACGCAUUAAGCACUCCGCCUGGGGAGUACGGCCGCAAAGGCUG
rnacentral:rRNA from 1 species